rnacentral:lncRNA from 1 species
UCUAUUUCAGAUAACCAGUUCGGGUGUGCAUGCCGGGAAGAUCUACCACAUAAGCUAUCCUCCUUAUUAGGAGGAUGAUGGAACAAUACAGGGAUAAGAAGAAGGAUCUCCACAUGGUGUUUAUCGAUCUAGAGAAAGCGUAUGAAAGGGUUCCUAGAGAGGUCUUAUGGAGAUGCCUAGAGGUUAAAGAGGUCCCGGUUGACUAUGAUGAUUAAAGAAAUGUAUAAUGGAGCUAAGACUCGGGUUAGGACAGUAGGAGGCGACUCCAACCAUUUUUCGGUUGUUACGGGGUUGCACCAAGAGUUUACAUUCAGCGUUUUCCUAUUUGCCCUGGUGAUGGAUGUCAUAACGUAUCAUAUUCAAGGGGAGGUGACAUGGUGCAUGCUAUUUGCUGAUGACAUAGUCCUAAUUAACUAGACACGACACAGCAUAAACGAGAGGCUAGAGGUUUGGAGACAUGAAGAAAGCGUACGAUAGGGUUCCUAAGGAGGUCCUAUGGAGAUGCUUAAAGGUUAAAGGGCUCCCGAUUGUCUACAUUAGGGUGAUUAAAGACAUGCUUGAUGGAGCUAAGACUCGGG